GCCUUGGUGGGUAGCUCCGUUGAUAGAGCAUGAGACUUUUCAUCUCAGGGUCAGGGGUUCAAGCCUCAUGUUGGGCA